GCCACUGUGGAUUAUUGGUAGAUCGUGCUCCAAUCAUAUACCAUGAUGUUGGAUGCGUCUGAGCAAAAAGUGGGUUCAAGCCCCGCCAGUGGUA